GGGGGACGCAGUAGGAUAGGCGAAGCGUGCGAUUGGAUUGCACGUCUAAGCAGUAAGGCUGAGUAUUAGGCAAAUCCGGUACUCGUUAAGGCUGAGCUGUGAUGGGGAGAAGACAUUGUGUCUUCGAGUCGUUGAUUUCACACUGCCGAGAAAAGCCUCUAGAUAGAAAAUAGGUGCCCGUACCGCAAACCGACACAGGUAGUCAAGAUGAGAAUUCUAAGGUGAGCGAGCGAACUCUCGUUAAGGAACUCGGCAAAAUGACCCCGUAACUUCGGGAGAAGGGGUGCUCUUUAGGGUUAACGCCCAGAAGAGCCGCAGUGAAUAGGCCCAAGCGACUGUUUAUCAAAAACACAGGUCUCUGCUAAACCGUAAGGUGAUGUAUAGGGGCUGACGCCUGCCCGGUGCUGGAAGGUUAAGAGGAGUGGUUAGCUUCUGCGAAGCUACGAAUCGAAGCCCCAGUAAACGGCGGCCGUAACUAUAACGGUCCUAAGGUAGCGAAAUUCCUUGUCGGGUAAGUUCCGACCCGCACGAAAGGCGUAACGAUUUGGGCACUGUCUCAACGAGAGACUCGGUGAAAUCAUAGUACCUGUGAAGAUGCAGGUUACCCGCGACAGGACGGAAAGACCCCGUGGAGCUUUACUGUAGCCUGAUAUUGAAAUUCGGCACAGCUUGUACAGGAUAGGUAGGAGCCUUUGAAACGUGAGCGCUAGCUUACGUGGAGGCGCUGGUGGGAUACUACCCUAGCUGUGUUGGCUUUCUAACCCGCACCACUUAUCGUGGUGGGAGACAGUGUCAGGCGGGCAGUUUGACUGGGGCGGUCGCCUCCUAAAAGGUAACGGAGGCGCUCAAAGGUUCCCUCAGAAUGGUUGGAAAUCAUUCAUAGAGUGUAAAGGCAUAAGGGAGCUUGACUGCGAGACCUACAAGUCGAGCAGGGUCGAAAGACGGACUUAGUGAUCCGGUGGUUCCGCAUGGAAGGGCCAUCGCUCAACGGAUAAAAGCUACCCCGGGGAUAACAGGCUUAUCUCCCCCAAGAGUUCACAUCGACGGGGAGGUUUGGCACCUCGAUGUCGGCUCAUCGCAUCCUGGGGCUGUAGUCGGUCCCAAGGGUUGGGCUGUUCGCCCAUUAAAGCGGUACGCGAGCUGGGUUCAGAACGUCGUGAGACAGUUCGGUCCCUAUCCGUCGUGGGCGUAGGAAAUUUGAGAGGAGCUGUCCUUAGUACGAGAGGACCGGGAUGGACAUACCUCUGGUGUACCAGUUGUCGUGCCAACGGCAUAGCUGGGUAGCUAUGUGUGGACGGGAUAAGUGCUGAAAGCAUCUAAGCAUGAAGCCCCCCUCAAGAUGAGAUUUCCCAACUUCGGUUAUAAGAUCCCU
rnacentral:rRNA from 1 species